CUUUUUUUUUUUUUUUUUGAGAUGGAGUCUCGCCCUGUUGCCCAGGCUGGAGUGCAAUGGCGUGAUCUUGGCUCACUGCAUCCUCCGCCUCCUGGGUUCAAGUGAUUCUCCUGCCUCAGCCUCCCAAGUAGCUGGGAUUACAGGCACCCACCACCACACCCGGCUAAUUCUUUUUUUUUUUUUUUUUUUUUAGUAGAGACGCAGUUUUGCCAUGUUGGGCAGGCUGGUCUCGAACUCCUGACCUCAGGUAAUCCGCCCGCCUCAGCCUCCCAAAGUGCUGGGAUUAUAGGCGAGAGCCACCACGCUCAGUGAGUAUGACAUUUUUAAAAGAACAGUAUAAAGCAUAAAAUAUCCCAUGUGGGGCAAACUCCCAGAUUAUUUUCCUAAACAAAUAGAAAAAAUGCUUCCUGAAAUAGGGUAAGAGAGGAUGAGUCAUCAGGAUCCCUGAAACAAAGAUCUCAAACAGGAGACCUUACGUAUAUUAUUCAUCAAUAUCUUCAGUGCAAAAAUGCAAAGCCAUUACAGAAAGGGCACAUAGUAAGCUUUUACAUACUUUCCUUAGGAACAGUGCUUAGAACUUAAAAUUCUCCAUGUUUUAAUAAAGAGUAAUAAUUUUAUGGUGAAGCAAUAUAAGAUUUAAAAUUUUCAGAGUAUCUUCCAUAACAGCAGUAUUAUUUAAAGUAGUGAAAAAAUAAGACAAUUUAAUAUCCAAUGAUAGAUGAUUAAAAAUUGGUAUGUCAGGUGAAAUAACAUGCACCAAUUAAGACUACUGGCAAAUUUGGGAAAAUGUUCGUGGUAAAUCAUUAGGUAAAAAAUAUUAUAAAACAAUAACCAUAUGAUUAAUAUUGUACAAACAGGAAGUAUAUGAACCAUUAUAUCAGUGAUUCUGGGUGGUUGACAUAUAAAAAUUUUGUGAUGAGUAAAGUUAUAUGCACAUAUAAGUAUAAAUUUGUAUUUAUUUAAGUAUAAAUUUGUAUUCACCUAUUUCAUAGGUGAGUGUGUGUGUAUAGAUAAACACAUGGAACAAAAAGUUAGGUAUAUCUGUGUAGUGUGGAGGGAAAAAGCUAGGAAAGAAAUACACCAAAUUAUUAAGUAAAUUGGCAUUUGAAUGUGGGGAUUAUUGAUGUGUAAAAAUUUUUUUGAUUGUAGUCUCCAGAAAUCACCAAUAAAGUAUAUCGUUUAAAGUGUAUAUUACGCAUGCUUAUUUUCUUUUCCCAUCCAUUUUGCCACUCAGCUUUGUCUUUAAUAUGUAACAUCAUUCUCUUCUUAAAAUGACCCCAUUUUCACAUAUGUAUACAUAUUGCCUAUUUGUUUUCCAUAUGAUUGAGUUUACAGGUUUGAGUGUGUACAUAGUUGACCCUUGAACAACAUGGGUUUGAACUGUGUAUGUCCACUUAUAUGUGGAUUUUCUUCCAUAUGUGCCACCACUGAGACAGCAAGAUCAUGUAAGAUGUGACUUGGUCCUCCUUGCCUUCCACUAUGAUUGUGAG
rnacentral:lncRNA from 1 species